rnacentral:lncRNA from 1 species
CAAGCGUUAGGACAAGAGUAAAGUUGUGCAAAGUCUCCUGGAGUACAAAGGUCUGGUACAAAGGUCAAUCUGUGAAUCAUGUGAUCAAAGUGCAAGGCUGAAUUAACAACAAACCAUUGUCAAAUCUCUUCCCAUGCAUGUGCGGGAAAAUAGACCAAUCAGGUUUCACCUCUUCGUCUGAAUAGUUUCCUGCUUGGAUCAGUAAGCCUCAUUGUGUCACUUGCAAGCAAAAUUGUAUGACCUCUGCGGCAAAGUACUUCGAAAUUAUACUUUUGGAAAAGAUAUAUCGUGGAUAUAAAACAACGGUCAGUAACACAGUAUUAUUCAGUGAUACGCAGUUUAUACAAAUAUAGCUCUGCUGCGGGCAAGCACUUUUACUCUUCUGGUGGACAAAGGAAUACGUUGGCUCAAGUAUUGACGUAUAUGAAACUCAGUGAGACGCAGUUUAUCAGUAAAAUAUAACUCUGCCGCGGGCAACCGUUUUUACUCUUUUGGUGGACAAAGGAAUACCUUGGCUGAUGUAUUGAUGUGUGAUUCAGAGAGACGAUGUUUAUUCAAAUAUAACUGGGCAGGCGCUUUUACUCUUCUGGUGGACAAAGGAAUACGUUGGCUCAAGUAUCGAUGUGUGAUUCAGUGAGACGCAGUCUAUUCAAGUAUAACUCUACCGUGGUCAAGCGCUUUUACCCUCCUGGUGGACAAAGGAAUACGUUGGCUCAACCGAUGAAGUUAAAUGAAACCGCCGCUGGGGGAAUUAUAACAAGAUCGAGAGGCUAGACACAAAUUCAACAAGCGUCAUUUGAUAUCAUUCGUAUAUCAAUGUAUUUAUGUAUGCACAUGCAUUUGGUGCGUAAGUAUGCGGUGAAUUCACACGUUUGCUUCGUAUUUCGCUUUUCAAACCAAUCAAAAUGCUUUAACUUCAUUUAUUUUAUCACAGAAUUCGGGUAUAGUAAUUGUCGAACGCCAAAUGUAUCGACCAUUCAGGCAUUCACGGUAAAUCGAUCUGUAUUUCAAUGUCAAUUUUAUUACCAUCUUGAGGUUAUUAACCGGCCAGUUGGGCCUCUGAUUCGGGAAUUGGGUUUCAAUAAAGUGUCACAUUAAACUGUAUUCAAUCAUUCAAAAGUAGAUUAUAUAAAACUUCCUUUCUAGCUAUUUCAAGGCACUCUUUAAUAAAACAAACACUUAAUUAUUUGGCCCGUAUACAUUAUCAAUACUUUACUGGGCACAACAUAGGAAAUCAAGUUCAUGUGUGAGAGAAAUUUUAGUCUGCUCGCAUAUCCUUCCACCACGGGGGGGAUUAGGGACAGUCUGUGCACAGACUAGAGAAAUUUAGGAUCUACUUUAUCUACAUUUGUGAUAAAUCGACAAGUUGGAUGUCAUGAAAGAUUGAUAUAUACGUACAGUGUAUGGUAUGUCGCUACUCAUGAAAAUUCAUUUUAGUGUCUUAUCACUAUACUGCAUGAUCUUUAGUCUACCAAAUACAUAUUCUUACAAUUUCUGCUAGUCUCAUGCAUGCAUGAUUGCAUGUUCAAUCACAAAACUGUGGUUUAAUAUAAACACCUGAAUUGCAUUUUGAAUUUUUGAUCCUGCUAUUUUAAAAUAUUGAACAAGCUAUUUUUCUGAGAUUAAAGAGUCACAUACAUAAUUCGAGAAUUAUAUUGUGUCAAGUUCCACCAAUCAUAAUUCAAAUAAAAUAAGUGGAGUUAACAAAUACAUGUUGCAAAAUUGUCAACGAGCACAUUGACAUUAAAAAUAAAUAAAUCGUAAAAAAAAAAAAAAAAUGAUGGUGAGAAAUAAAAAAUAACUCAACAUACUUAAAAUAUCAGUAGAAUGACAAAAUUCACAUUGCAAAAAAUAACAAAAAUAUAAAACCCAUGCUUUUCCGGCUCUCUAACUAUGUGUAUGUAUAUAAUAUUGCAAAUGCAUGAUCAUAUCUUACCUUCGUAAUAACAGUAGUAAAUUUUAGGAAGACCUUUAACCUUAUUUGUAAAGACAUGACUUUGGAUAAAGUCAUCAUAAUUGUUAUCGUUUUCUGUAUCAUAAAUGAUGUAUUCUAGAGUGCUUUUUGCUUCCUUCACUCUUUGGCAGUUUUGAGAAUUGUGUGGUAAUAGAUAAAAUGGUUUAUCCAAAGGCAGCUCAAUGGAAUCUCUCCAAAGUCCUUGAUCCUGGCAACAAUAUUCAAUAAUGGUGUCUUCAUCAAAAGUACCACUAGGUAAGGUACCACCUUUACUGUUUUUAUUUGUGUCAUCUUCGUCAUCCCACUCUAUAGAGCCACUUUUCAUACCAGAGGGACAUUGGUUCUUUUUAUAGAUACAAUACGACCCUAAAAACAGAUACAAUAUUACAGUAAAAUGUCUAAAAGAAUAUACUUGAUCAUGUCAUGAUGUGCAGCCCUCCACUACGCACAUGCAGUAUAUAUGGUCAUUGUAAUAAGAUAGGUAGCUAUUACAAGCUUAGAUAGCCCAAACAAAGC